UACGUAGGGGGCAAGCGUUGUCCGGAAUCAUUGGGCGUAAAGAGCGUGUAGGCGGCCCGGUAAGUCCGCUGUGAAAGUCCAGGGCUCAACCCUGACAUUGCAUCCGAUACGGGCAGGCUAGAGUUCGGUAGGGGAGACUGGAAUUCCUGGUGUAGCGGUGAAAUGCGCAGAUAUCAGGAGGAACACCGGUGGCGAAGGCACUCUACUGGGCCAUGACUGACACUGAGAGACGAAAGCUAGGGGAGCAAAUGGG
rnacentral:rRNA from 1 species